rnacentral:tRNA from 1 species
GAAUAAAUAGUAUAACAAUACCUUUUGGUUUCGACCCAACUUGCCUAGGAUAAAUCCUAUUUAUUUU